UUCCUAUCAGCUCCCUGACCCAGGCUCCUACUCGCGGCGGUCUCCGAUUCGAAGGAGCUCCACCGCCUCAAAGUUCUUCUCCGGUUCCUCAAUGUGCCCCCAAAUUCUUACAAACAAAAGGGAUUCGGCCUUCAAAAUCGCAUCUCGAAUUCGGAGAAACCCGAGUGUCGGUUCUUGAAUUCAUCCCUAUUGUUUUCAAUUUUCUUCUUAUUCCGAGGAAUUUCGUGACGAAACGUGAGAUCGGAAGGAUUCGUGGCAGUAGAAAUGGAGGGAGAGAUCACACUACCGGCAUCCCAGAACUCGGUGGCGGGGACGCACACCUCGUGCUGCUCCUUCGAGGACGGCGACGAAUCGACGGGGGAGUCGGCCGGCUGGAUCUCCGGCGACCGGUUCGAGAUACAGAAGCACCAGAUCCUCCGGGAGCUGCAGCAGAUGGUCAACCGCUACAACGACUGCUUUCGCCAGCUCCAGGCCGCUCUCUCCGACCUCGACGUCCUCCGACAUGACAACCUCCAGCUCAACGCCGACCACCUCCACCUCACCUUCCUCCUCGAGGAGAUGGAGGCCUCCGCCGCCGCCGCUGCUACUGCGGCCGGCCGUGAAUCCGUGCCUCCGGAGGCACAGGGGAAGCAAAAGAUCGUCGGAGGAGAGACCGCGACGGAGGAUCCUGAUCCGGAUCCGGCGCCGCCGGGGGGAUCGGACGGCGGAGGCGGAAAGGGCGGGACACGUGGCGGUCUGCCAAAGAGCAUCUCUAUCCGAUCGCGUGGGUUCUUGGCUGUGAAGCAACCACCGGCGGGCGGGGACGUUGAGGCGAGGCGACCCCACCGCCUCCGUCUCCCGGCGUCUGCGGCGCUAAAGGGAGAGGAGGGAGACGGGGAGGUGGAGGUGGAGGCCUAUAGCCAGGGGAUGGCAAAGACGGAGCUGUGCAACAAGUGGGUGGAGAAGGGGUGGUGCCCGUACGGGGAGCGGUGCCAGUUCGCGCACGGGAUCCAGGAGCUGAGGCCGGUGAUCCGACACCCCCGCUACAAGACCCAGCUCUGCCGCAUGCUGGCCUCCGGAGGUGACUGUCCUUACGGCCACCGCUGCCACUUCCGCCACGCCCUCCCUAGCCACCGUGACGCCUAGCCAUUUCGGUCCCCAUGGCUCCGUCUCCAAUGAUUCCAUCAAACAGUGCUUUCUCUUCAUUCUCAGUUCUCUCUCUUUUGGAGCUCUCGCGGAACGCUGUGGAAUUUAGGUGGGUUUGAGUCAACAAACGCUUUUGGGCACCCUAAUCAACUCUGUAUGGGCUCAGUUGGCAGCACGGGACAUAGAAGACAGCGAGAAGCAUGAAAUCUGGUGACUUCUGGAGACGUUGGGGCGCGACGCUUGGGCCUCGUUACCUAUCAUCGACGAAAAGUAAUGAAGGUAAUUGUCCUAACAACUCCACUCCCGCCUGGCCCCAAUUCCUUCCGACGCUUGUCGAGGCUGCAAGAGAACCAUUCCGCUCUGCGCUUUGCGUUCGAUGGCUUUUAUUAGUGGGGUCUGACACAAUUACACAAUGAACACCACGAGAAACUCUAAUCAACGCACCACCAUCUGACACCUACGCGUCUUCAUUUGCUUUGCGUGGCGGCCUUCCUGGCCGCGCACUCUUCCUGCCCCUCGUCUCAGACACGUGCGAAAAAUUCAACCCGCGUAAUGUUUCUGAAAAAGGAACAUGAGAACACCCA